CCUACGGGUGGCAGCAGUCGAGAAUCAUUCACAAUGGGGGAAACCCUGAUGGUGCGACGCCGCGUGGGGGAAUGAAGGUCUUCGGAUUGUAAACCCCUGUCAUGUGGGAGCAAAUUAAAAAGAUAGUACCACAAGAGGAAGCGACGGAUAACUCUGUGCCAGCAGCCGCGGUCAUAAGUAGGAUCCGAGCAUUAUCCGGAGUAACUGGGUGUAAAGAGUUGCGUAGGUGGCAUAAUUAGUAGCUAGUGGAAUCUGGUGGCUCAACCAGUCAGACUGUUUGCUAAACUGUUAAGCUCGAGACCGUGAGGGGUAACUGGAAUUUCUGGUGUAGGAGUGAAAUGCGUAGAUAUUAGAAGGAACACCAGUGGCGAAGGCAGGUUACUGGAACGGUUCUGACACUGAGGCACGAAAGCGUAGGGAGCAAACGGGAUUAGAUACCCUUGUAGUC
rnacentral:rRNA from 1 species